rnacentral:rRNA from 1 species
UACGUAGGAGGCAAGCGUCGUCCGGACUGACUGGGCGUAAAGCGCGCGCAGGCGGUGCGGGGCGUCGGUGCUGAAAUCGGGCCGCUUAACGGCCCGUGGCGUGCCGAUACGCCCGUACUGGAGGGUGGGCGAGGGUGGUGGAAUUGCCGGUGUAGUGGUGAAAUGCGUAGAGAUCGGCAGGAACACCCGUGGCGCAAGCGGCCACCUAGCCCAUUCCUGACGCUGAUGCGCGACAGCGUGGGGAGCGAACUGG